UAAACCCACAACCCCUAGAAUAGAAGGGAGGCCAGGUUGCCUUGAGGACGGUUGCUGGUACACUACCAAACAGUUACACAGUUAAACUUUCUCCAUUUUCCCCUAAGGACUCAUAGCCCUUGUUUUUCUUUUCAGGAUAAAUCCACACUGGGGAAAAGGAAAGAAGACCCAAGACCCAACCUUUCCUAGCAUGUGGGACACCAGUUUCAAGCAUGUGUUGACUUGGGGAGAUCACAAACAGAGUCACUGUGUUCCAGUUAAAGUUGGGGGCUGAUAAAGGUAUGUUAUACAACCCAUAUCUGAAUGACUGGAAAAGCUGCCUUUGGGCCCAGAAUGGAAGGGAAGACUCUACAGUAGAUCCAGGAUGGUAUGCAGGCUUCUUUGUCUCUUAGACACAGCAGACCCAGUAAGACUUGAGACAACUCUUCUUCCUUUGAGAGACAGAUUUUGACCUGCUAUUGAGCCCUACAGGAAACUAAAUGCCUGACCUUGGAUCAGAACUGGCUGUGAUCUCACCACCAAGCUAUAAAGUUGGGUGUGCACAGCAGUAAUCCACCAUCAAAUAGAAAUAGUGCUUGCAUAAUUGGGCCUGAGCAAGUCCUGAAGGGUCAAAUAAGUUAUUAAAGAAAUGGUCCUAAACUCGUAUGUCUCCUGCUGCAAUGUCUUUGGCCUCAGU